rnacentral:lncRNA from 1 species
GGGUAUCAAAGGACUCAUUCAAUAUUUGAAUGAUCUCCUCUAGUUGCGCAUCCUCAAACUAAUGGCUAAGUUCGUCGUUCAUAGCUGCCCUCAUCACGCAAUGCAUAGUCGUGCGAUCAUUAAGCCACUUCACGUAAGUGUCUCUCGUGGCACAAGGAGCAUUGGCUGUAGGUUCUUCAGGUACCUCAUCUGUAAGGACAUAAUCGUGCUCUAACAUAAUCUUCAACUUUCGAUACUAGCUAUCGAAGUUGG